GGAGAAGCGUUUGUAUUCAUUCAGAGUUUUGAUUUCGUUAUCAUUAUUGAUUUGGAACUCACUUAUUGUAUGUUUGAUCAAUUGAAGGCUCCACAAACUAGCAUCAAAGCCUCUAGUUGUUCGAUUGCUUGCUGAUUUUCAAUCCUCGGUGGUCGAAAAUUGGAAUUACUGUGUUUUUCUUGUGUAUCCUAUGCAAUUGAGGCGUUGAUCUGCUAAUUUUGCAAUAAGGACUUGAAUCCUAAAUUAAAUUCACAUCUCUCAUUGUUACAGACCAUUGAUAGGUCCGUUCUGGUGAAUUAGCUAAAGCUAUUUUAAUUACUAAAAUAGCAAGUUAUCGUGUAGGGUGAUCAAUAGGAUUGUAGCCUUACCUAAUGCUAGUAUUUUAGGGCUAUUUUCCUAAAUUGUAAUAUUAUCGUUUUUGUGGC
rnacentral:lncRNA from 1 species